AUUGUUCACUCUCCCUCAAGGGCUUCCAGCAAUUGCUUGGAAACCAGAUCCUGAUCACUAGCAAUGCUCGAGGCCUUUUUGAGGAGAGUGAAGAA
rnacentral:pre_miRNA from 1 species